GACGAACGCUGGCGGCGUGCUUAACACAUGCAAGUCGAACGGAAAGGCCCUGCUUUUGUGGGGUGCUCGAGUGGCGAACGGGUGAGUAACACGUGAGUAACCUGCCCUUGACUUUGGGAUAACUUCAGGAAACUGGGGCUAAUAACGGAGAGGAGCUCCUGCUGCAUGGUGGGGGUGGGAAAGUUUCGGCGGUUGGGGAUGGACUCGCGGCUUAUCAGCUUGUUGGUGGGGUAGUGGCUUACCAAGGCUUUGACGGGUAGCCGGCCUGAGAGGGUGACCGGCCACAUUGGGACUGAGAUACGGCCCAGACUCCUACGGGAGGCAGCAGUGGGGAAUAUUGCACAAUGGGCGGAAGCCUGAUGCAGCAACGCCGCGUGCGGGAUGACGGCCUUCGGAUUGUAAACCGCUUUCGCCUGUGACGAAGCGUGAGUGACGGUAAUGGGUAAAGAAGCACCGGCUAACUACGUG
rnacentral:rRNA from 1 species